CCCGAAACCAGGUGAGCUACCCCGAGACAGCCUAUGUUAAUUUAGGGCUAACCCGUCUCUGUGGCAAAAGAGUGGGAAGAGCUCCGGGUAGAAGUGACAGACCUACCGAACCUGGUGAUAGCUGGUUGCCUGAAAAAUGGAUAGAAGUUCAGCCUCGCAUCCCCCGAUCCAACAAAUAUAUCGUCAAGAUGCUCAGGGAGACAUGCGAGAGUUAGUUAAAAGGGGUACAGCCCUUUUAACAAAGGAUACAACCUUCACAGGAGGAUAAAGAUCAUAAUAUAUAAGAUAUACUGUUCUAGUGGGCCUGAAAGCAGCCACCUAAACGGAAAGCGUUAAAGCUCGGACAGACAGAAGUUUAUUAUACUGAUAGGAAAUCUUAUUCCCCUAGCUGUAUCAGGCCAACCCAUGCCCCCAUGGAAGAGAUUAUGCUAAAAUGAGUAAUAAGAAGACACGCUCUUCUCCCGGCACACGUGUAAACCAGAUUGGACUAGCCACUGGAACUUAACGAACCCAACCCAAGAGGGCAGUGUGAUUAAUAGAAACCUCAAGAAGAACUCACAUCAACUGAUCGUUAACCCCACACUGGAGUGCUAUCUUCAAGGGAAAGACUAAAAGAGGAGGAAGGAACUCGGCAAACACAAGCCUCGCCUGUUUACCAAAAACAUCGCCUCCUGCAACUAGACUAAGUAUAGGAGGUCCAGCCUGCCCAGUGACUACGGGUUCAACGGCCGCGGUAUCUUGACCGUGCAAAGGUAGCGCAAUCACUUGUCUCUUAAAUAGAGACCUGUAUGAAUGGCUAGACGAGGGCUUAACUGUCUCCCCCCUCCAGUCAGUGAAAUUGAUCUAUCCGUGCAGAAGCGGGUAUAAAUAUACAAGACGAGAAGACCCUUUGGAGCUUAAGGUACAAAAUUCAACCACGUUAAACAACUCCAUAAAAGGCAAGAACUUAGUAGCAAUGAAAUUUUACCUUCGGUUGGGGCGACCGCGGAGGAAAAACAAGCCUCCGAGUGGACUGGGCCAAACCCCUGAAGCCAAGAGAAACAUCUAGAAGCCGCAGAAUAUCUGACCAAAAAUGAUCCGGCUGAAAGCCGAUCAACGAACCAAGUUACCCAAGGGAUAACAGCGCAAUCCCCUCCCAGAGCCCGUAUCGACGAGGGGGUUUACGACCUCGAUGUUGGAUCAGGACAUCCUAAUGGUGC
rnacentral:rRNA from 1 species